UUUCUCCCACUUUUGAAUCUUCAUCGCCUGCAGGUGAAAACAUCUGGGGGGGAAAAAUACAGAGUGGAAGCUACCUGACAAGCCUAUCAGACCAGAGGUUUCAAAGUAGCCAGCUCAACACCCUCUAACCAAGGAAAGGAAUUCAUGGAGAGGACAGAGGAGACCCUUCAGAAGUAGUAGCUAGGUGGAGAAGUAGAGAGGACACUGAGCCCGGAAUCAGGAAGAGCUGAGUUCAAAUCCAGCCUCAGAGACUUACUAGCUGUGUGACCCUAGACAAUCACUUUACCGCUGCCUGCCUCAGUUUCCUCAUCUAUAAAAUGGGGGUAGUAAUAUCCCUACAUCCAAAAGUCGCUGUAAAAAGCAAAUGAGAUAAUAUUUGUAAAGUGCUUAGCACACAGUAGGCACUUAAUAAAUAUUUGUUUCCCUCCUUUC